rnacentral:rRNA from 1 species
UACGUAGGGGGCUAGCGUUGUCCGGAAUCAUUGGGCGUAAAGAGCGUGUAGGCGGCCCGGUAAGUCCGCUGUGAAAGUCGGGGGCUCAACCCUCGAAUGCCGGUGGAUACUGUCGGGCUAGAGUGCGGAAGAGGCGAGUGGAAUUCCUGGUGUAGCGGUGAAAUGCGCAGAUAUCAGGAGGAACACCGAUUGCGAAGGCAGCUCGCUGGGACGUAACUGACGCUGAGACGCGAAAGCGUGGGGAGCAAACAGGAUUAGAAACCUUCCGUAG